AGACUGGAUUUCUAACAAGGAAGUUCUAAACAAGGACUGAUGACCUCCAACCUGUUUGGGUGAAUUUAUCUGCAUGACCUUGUCAUGCAUCUGAUGCAAAGUCACCAUUUUGCAGACGGGUAUUAAAAGUGAAUUGCAAGAGCUGAGCAGUUGACCGAUAUGAAAGGGAAGAAACAGGUUUAAGGAUGAGAUGUCUGAAGCCUUCCUUACAGACUUUCCAAAAAACCCUCGAAAACUACUGACAACUGGAAAGUGUUUUUGAUGUCUGAAAGAGAAAGACAGGCAGCUAUCCUGCGACAGCAUUGAACUGGCCCGAGGCAGUGUUGCCAUGACGAAAGACGCUGCGGAGAAAGAUAGGGACUCCUGGAGGCAAUGAUCAGGCAGAACGUUCUGUUGGAUUGCAUAGUGAAAUUAGGCCAGCAGACAAUCCAGCAUCUUCAACCAGAACCGGUCAUGUUCUGCAGCCUCUCGAUUAUCUAGGGUAC